GACGAACGCUGGCGGCGUGCUUAACACAUGCAAGUCGAAUGGUAAGGCCCUGCUUUUGUCGGGUGCUCGAGUGGCGAACGGGUGAGUAACACGAGAGUAACCUGCCCUCGACUUUGGGAUAACUUCAGGAAACUGAGGCUAAUACCGAAUAGCUGCCCCUGCUGCAUGGUGGGGGUUGGAAAUUUUCGGCGGUUGGGGAUGGACUCGCGGCUUAUCAGCUUGUUGGUGGGGUAGUGGCUUACCAAGGCUUUGACGGGUAGCCGGCCUGAGAGGGUGACCGGCCACAUUGGGACUGAGAUACGGCCCAGACUCCUACGGGAGGCAGCAGUGGGGAAUAUUGCACAAUGGGCGGAAGCCUGAUGCAGCAACGCCGCGUGCGGGAUGACGGCCUUCGGGUUGUAAACCGCUUUCGCCUGUGACGAAGCGUGAGUGACGGUAAUGGGUAAAGAAGCACCGGCUAACUACGUG
rnacentral:rRNA from 1 species